AUGUUCGUUUUGAGCCAGAUUGAGCACAACCUGCCGAUGCCUCCACACUUGCUGAAUCGCCCUCUUGUCGACGCCAUCAAGGCCGAGCUUGAGAGGCUCUUGCUGGAUAAGGUGGUUGCAAAUCUCGGGCUCUGCGUGUCCGUCUAUGACAUUCUUUCCGUCGAAGGUGGAUUCAUCUUUCCAGGAGAGGGCUGCUCGACAUAUAAAGUUUCCUUUCGGUUAUUGAUGUUCAGGCCCUUUAUUGGGGAGGUUCUUGUUGGGAAGAUCAGUGGAUAUGAUGAGAAGGGUUUACAAGUUUCACUUGAUUUUUUCAGCGAUAUAUGCAUUCCGGGACACUUGAUGCAAAUUGGCACAGUGAGGGGGGAGGACGGUAGGUGGGCGUUGAAGACUGAAGAUGGUGAUGAACUUCAUCUUGACAUUGAUGAUGAGAUACGAUUCCUGGUGUCUAGCAUAAAGUACCCACCUAUACCAGUUGAGCAAAAGGAGGAUGACAAGCCAUUUGCUCCGAUGCAGAUCAAUGGAAGUAUCAAAGGAGAUGGUCUUGGCCUUAUUGCAUGGUGGGCGGCAGGUGAAGAGGAGGGCGAGGAAGAGGAAGAGGGCGAGGGCGAGGAAGAGGAAGAGGAAGAGCAAUAG
rnacentral:rRNA from 1 species